AGGAAUAUUGCUCAAUGGGAGAAAUCCUGAAGCAGCAACGCCGCGUGGAGGAUGAAGGGUCUAUGACUUGUAAACUCCUGUAAAGAAGGAAAAAAUUCCCAUUUGAUGGGAGAUGAUGGUACUUCUGGAGUAAGCCCCGGCUAACUACGUGCCAGCAGCCGCGGUAAUACGUAGGGGGCAAGCGUUGUCCGGAUUUACUGGGUGUAAAGGGUGCUCAGGCGGAUUUGUAAGUCAGAGGUGAAAUCUUACAGCUUAACUGUGAAACUGCCUUUGAUACUGCAAGCCUAGAUUAUGGAAGAGAGGGAUGGAAUAUCUGGUGUAACAGUGAAAUGCGUAGAUAUCAGAUAGAACACCAAUGGCGAAGGCAGUCACUUGGUCCAUUACUGACGCUAAAGCACGAAAGCGUGGGUAGCAAACA
rnacentral:rRNA from 1 species